GUGAACUUUGCUAAAGUUCCACUCCACAUGUCAACAUUCUGAUUAAACCAUGGUUCUUUUGUGGAUGAUUGGUUGUACUAAUGGGUCCAGAUAUACAUCUUUCACAGAGCUAGACCAGUGGGAGCUGUUUCCUAUACGGACAUUAAUGGGUUUAGUUACAAAAGAGAUGUUAUAUUUUGUUACGAUUUGAAGCUACCUGAAGAUUUUGUUCCUAUGAAUCAAGGUAACUGUAUUAAAGCUUGAUCACACUGACGCUCAUUUUCUUCCUUCGUGAGAAUAAGGUAUAAAAGCAAUGUUUCUUGAUCUACAAACUAAUUUUAGCAUUCCUACUGUUAAAUAUUUGUACAUUUCAAUCUAUAACAUUCAUCUGCUGCAGUUUUAGAAGAGAAUUAUAUCUAUUCAUUGUAAUAGCUUUUAUUAAACAUGUUGCAGACGGAGAGGUAGAAAGCUUCCAGUUGAUGCCUGUGGCACAUGUUGCAAAUGUCAUACGGAGAACAGAGUUCUUCAAGCCAAAUUGCUCCCUAGCCAUCAUUGAUUUCUUGUUUCGACAUGGGUAUUAGCACUUUUCUUGAUUGCUUCUUGUAUCUCUCUCAGUUUGAGACUUUCAGUAAUCAGUUAAAAAGAUUAAAAUAAAUAAAGAAAGAAAUAAAACUAGCAUAUGUGACAGCCGUAUGAAAAAUAAAUAAAUAAAUAGAAAGCAUAAUCACUUCUUUCUUUCUUUUUUUAUUAACUGUCAAGUUGUGGCAAUGGUUGCUGCUUUUCUUAUGAUAGUGGACUCUUCUGCCCUGUAGAAAUGAUAAAAGCAAUGGUGUGUAAUUGUAAUGAAUCUUAAAUGUUUGCUCUCCACUACUGAUAUUCCCAUGUGUUUCUCUUUAGUUUUAGGAAUCUUUUAGAUGUCUUUGGGUUUUCUUUUUCAUGAUUUCAUACAUUUAUCAUUUAUGCUGAUUAAAAUUGUUACAUAUUAGGCUUGGCAAAUUGCUCCAGGAUUUUAUUUCUGACACUCAUAUGCACUUCCAACUAUUUCAAUGAAUCUCGAGAUAUGUCUUUGAUUUUUCUUGUAAUGUCCAUACAUUGAUGCUGGUUGAUAUUAGAUAUAUUUGAUGGGAUUCAUGCUCAAAAGGCGUUGUUGUAGUUCCUUCUUUGCUAUUAUGAAAAAUUCAGCUAUAGCAUAUCAGUCCAUCCCAGUUUGAUUCUAAUCUUUUACCAUAAUGCUGCAACUUGUAGGUACAUUCGUCCUGAAUAUUUUGGAUACUUGGAUCUACUACAGAGUUUGAGAAGGGGAGACUUCUCCUAAUUAUUUGUCUUCGUGCCUGUCUUUUUUCUUUUUCUUUUUUAAUCCUCCAAAUAUAUUGGAUUGACUGAAUGACAACUGGUGUUAAUUAAAGGCGUUAUUUUCCUGUCGCGAAAGAGAUAGUUUGGGCAUUAUACGAUGUGAAAUCAUAGUUCUUAAAAUGAGACUUCUGAAUGAAACUAAACACAUAAUAUGUAAUUUAGGGUUUAAAAAAAAAAAUGGAAUUUACCCCGGUUAUACCCGGAAUCUUGGCUAUUAAUCUAGUUAUGCCCUCGUAUUUCGAAAUUAUCAUAAUAUGCCUUUAGAGAUGAGUAAUGUCUAAAUUACCCUCAAAUAUCUCCACUUUGUCAUUGAAUUUCUUCUCCGUUGGCCGCAAUAGCUCCAUCGAGAUUACCCUUAUCAAGCAGAAUGAUUUAUCUCUUGUUGGUGGUGACCUAAACAAUAAGUAUAGGUCAUUGUUAUGACGAAAAUAAAGGGCCAGAAUUCACAUGAAUAAUGCUUAAUUACCAUGGCUGCUAACUAGGCCAAAACGUCAUGACAAGAUCAACAGAAAGAUAAACAUAGAAGAACUGUCGGAUGCGCAAUACUAUAAGUGUCAUUCCAUGUACCUGAAAGAUGAUUGCCUAUUCAUCAAAAAUCGUCCAAAUAGAAAAUGCAAAAAUUGAAGAAUCCCAACCUAAUCUGGUAUUAGCCAUUGUGCCCACCAAUUAGACUUACAUCUGAAUGAUGCUCAGAUUUAUCACUAUAAAUACCAAAGCUUACAGAAUCUUGGAUGCUUAAGUGAUAACCAGUAGGCUCUUUUUUUUUUUUUUUUUUUUUUUAAUAAGAAUUACUAAAUGUUUGCUUUACAUAUUGCCAUGGGAUGAUAAUAUCCAUCAACAAACUGAUAUCCAGUUCCAUCCAUAUGGACAUGUAGAUCUUCUUACUCUGUACCAGAAUAUCUGUGUAAAGUGAGUAGAAUAAAUUCAAGACCCAAAGUUUUACUCUCUAGGCUCUGGUUUGGGAUUUUUUUUUUUUAAUAUUGUUAUACAGGACUAUAGGUAUUAUAAUUAAUAUUUACAAACAGAUUUUACAAUUGGGACCUUCUUCGUGGCAUGUACUCCUCUGAAGCGCUGCCCAAAUUCUUCAAAUCCUCUCAAAUAUUCGAGGAUUGUUCACUCUACUCACAUUUCGUGAGGAAUAGACUGGCUCCACUCAAUUAUUUGAUAAUUGAGGAAGGAUUGUAAAUAAGCUUCAUAAAUGCUUUUAUGGAGGCUCGAACCCUUGCACUCAUUAUUCUAGGUGCAAAGGUUCUCCCACUGAACCAAAGGCCCAUUGGUAGGCUCUGGUUUGGUUAAGUCAUAUAAUUUCGGAGAAUACCACAUGUACCAAAAGCAACACUGUCAAGUAAACUCCUCUAUUUACAUUUCAAUUAAACCACAUAAUUGAUCUACACAGGGACAAUUGAUAGAAUUACCUCUGCUGUGCAGGAAAAUAAUAAAGAAGACGGCCUUUGUGACACCGAGAGCGAAGAAGUAUUUGUUCAAGGCCCUCAUUCUCUUUCAUUUUCAUUCCUUUACAUACUGCUCAAGUGCUCAUAAAAAAUAUUGUAAGGGUCUUAUUCAGCCACAUAUACAUGAAUAAUUCUAGAUUGUGAAAAAGUUGAAACUAUUUACUUUUAAGGAAUGAAGCAUGCAUCAACAAUAUAGUUAGUUGAGACUCAUGAAUCCUCAUUCUAAAUCCAGUGAGAAACAUUUCCCAAAACUAAGAAAAUUAUUUUUCUACUUCCAAGAAAUCUUGUGAAUACUUCUACAGAAUGAUAAGUAUUUUUCAGGGCAAAAAGGCAUGCACCCAUAGUCAGCUGUUAGUAUAACAUAUCUAAAAUAGAGCCUAGAAAUCACAAUAAUCAUUUCCAAUGUAUGUAAAAGCCAGUGUCAUGCCAAAGGAAUUCACCAUAUUGGUCGCAGUAAUAUGCCAACAUCAACCCGACAUCUACAAUCAGCUUUCCAAGGGCUUUGAAAGCUAGACACCAACAAUUAACCUUCAGUAAAUGUAGAAAAUAAUUGAAAAGUGAAUUUGAAAAAUAAAUAAGUGAAUAAAAAAUCCAACAUAGACGAAAACUGUGAAAGGAACACAAGAAGAUGAGAGUGGAAGACAAGUGUAGCACCAAACAAGAAUUUCACUCCCACUUAUAGCUUCAUUUUCAAGAAAAUUGGCAGAGACUCGUACCAAAAGAUUAGAUUACUCUGAAAAUAUGCUCAUAUAAAGGAAAAAUAACGAAACCAAUAUCUGCUUCAAAAAUCGGCUGAAACUACUCAGUUUAAAACAACUAUUCCGAUAUAGAAUAGAAGUUGACAAUGUAAAAAAAAGUGUAGACUGCAUACAAAGAAGUUUCUUCCCUGCAGUACACACUUGCGCUCACACAAAGACACGAAAAUAGAGAAGCAUAAAUUUGUUUAACUGUUUAAAUACAAGCUCUCAGAUCAUGAAUCCAAGAAAUCACAUAACUAUGAUAAACAAACCUCUCAAGAGACAAUUUCCAGCAAGCAGAAUAAGUCUCUCUUAAAAGCCAAUAAAGGAGUAUAGUAAUAUUUUGUUAGCAUACCCACUUCAAGUUCUGGCAGUGCACUAUGAGGCCAUAUAUUCGAACCACAAUAUGAUGGAUACCUAAAAGACAGAGAACCGGAAAUAAGUAAAGCAACUAACCACAUCCAGAUUUUGCAUAUCUAAUCUAAAUAUGCGCAAAUGAACAUAAGAUGUAUAUAAAACAUAUCUUUCAAAAGUAAAAAAAUCAUCCCAGCAAAUAUAUUAUAGUCUUCCAAACAAUGUAUCAUAUGAAGAUAGAUAUAACACAAAUUUUUGUUAUCCACUUUAUCCACACACUAACAAUCAAUUUUGCCAGCCAUAAAAUCUCCAGGAACAAGGGAAUGACAGUCAACACUACGAGCACUUGGAAUGCUGUUAAUAUCUUUUACCUUUGGAUUAAAUGGGUCUCUGUUGUAGGCACGUCUAACAAUGGAUUCGCAUAGAAGGAGCCCUUCAACAUAUCUGCACAAGAUUAGAAUUAAAAAGGUUAAGACCCUACUUUCAGGCAUAAACUGACAUCAUGAGAAAUAUAAAAAAUAAUCAUACUAAGGCAUAGAACACCAACACUUCCUAAUAAUAUGUAUCAACAUGAACCAUAUCCGAAGGUAAACAAAGAUAAUAUUGCAUUAUAACUGCAGUCAUGUCUAGCUGCCAGUGGUCAAUCCAUUUUAUGUUUCAAAAUUCCUCAAAACUUCAAAUGACUCCAUCCCUCCAUGUCCAAACAUAGGAACUCCCACUCUAUUCAAUCAUUUACAUAAAUAUCAUGGGAACGUGAAUUCUGAAAAAUAGGAACGUGAAUUCUGAAAAAUAUACAGACUGCUCAUAUUAUGCCGUAUUUUAUUGAUUGCAAUAAUCAUGCAUCACAACAGGUGAAAUAUCUCAAAAUUGAAAUCAGCUUGGCCUGUGUUAGAACAAGAUGACCAAACUCAAGAACCUACAUCCGAAGUUGUACCUACAGACAGAGAGUGAGCGGAAGAAACAAAGAGUUAAAGCACCUCAUAUACUGUGAGAUUAUGAACUUGGAAAUAUAUUUCAAAUCCAAUGCAAGAAUACCACGCCUUCCACAAACAAAAUCACCAGAAAAAAGGUUCUAGUUAUUCAUGAUAAACACACUACUUCCACGGGCUGCAGGCCAUGCUAAGUAUUGCUGUUAACAGCUUUAGGUAGGAUUUAAGGAAAAUAUACUGUUUACUUUUUUCAUCAGAUAGAAAAUACGGGACAGGACCAAAAAUAAAUAAAAUGAGGAAAGAGAUACUUAGGUAAGACCAUGCUAAUCAUCUAUGCCAUCAAAAGACCUAACGAUCACAGAGGAUAAAUGGGUAAACUCCAUCACCUGAGUUAAGUAGCAUAUGAUGCACUCACGAGGACAUAACCAUGUGAAGACAGCAUUAUUCUACUGGUAAGGCUGUCAAGGUUGGUGAGUAGAACUCUGAAUGGCAUUAUCAUAUGUGUCAGGACCUUCUGGAAUCAAUGAAGAGUUCAACUGACAUAAUACCUUUCGAGUAAGAAAUGAAAUCGUUAAGUACCGAUAAGGUGAAAGUUUAUCUUUUCAAAACAAGUCUAAGGAACCCAAUUGGUAUAAAGGGAAUAUAGAUAUAAUAAGAUCCUUCCCACAUAAGCCUAGAGCUAUCCAGAGCAAUUUAACAAACCUCUAUGCUAAGUGGAGGCCAAAGACACAUCCAAAGCAACCAAAAUAAGCCAUCAAAGGGAAUAAAGUAAAUAAAAGAAGAUGAACAGUGAAAUCAAACAACAAUACAGGAGCUAGUGGAAAGUAGAAUCAGACCUACUGUGAUGAUCUUCAAGAUCCUUCUUUACAACUUCAGGAAGGUUAGCUAAUCUGAUAAAACAGAAUCUUGUGAACAACUUAUGUAAAAGUUACUUGUCCUAAAUAAUAUCUACCCGCAAGCUCAACCUGAGCAUUGAAAAUCUAGUUCGAAUCUUAUACCUAGGUGCAAGAUGCAGGAGAUUUUGACGCAGUGAAGAAAAUCCAGGAACCUAAAACAAAAACAGGUCAACUUCAAACAGGUAAUUCAAGCAUAUUGAAAGCAAAAUGACUGAAUAAUUCCUGAACAAAGACACUAGUUGUCCGAAUUUCAAAUGUAAAGACACAUACAAAAUACAUAAAUAUAGAGGGGGAACAAGAAGAGUUUCAAAAAUGGGAAGGGGACUUCAUCAAAGUUGCUACUUCAUUUUGUGUUACACAUUGCCACAGGUUUCAUCAUAUUCAAAAGUUAUACUCGUUGAAAGAAAACUUGAGCUGUUUGUUUUGAAAGAAAAGUUGCAGACAAAAUUUUUAUUUCCUUGAAUCUGGACAAUUAUCAAAGUCACUUUACAACUGAAUUAAUCACAGCUUAUAUACUCACAAGUUAGUUAUACACACAAGAAUUAUUAAUAACAGACUUUAACACCUUGUGCUGACUUGUUAUUUCAUAACUAACUCUAAUGACUUAGCAUUGCUGAGCUGGCAUGAUUGACUAACUUCACUUGCUGAAACUAACGGCUUCUUCACCUUUCUAUUCUUCAUAAGCUCAGCACAAUGAGCUUCCUUAACAGCCCCCCUCAAACUCAAGGGACACGUCUACACAUUGAGUUUGUCUCUAAAGUAGUUAAAAUGAAUAGAUGAGAGAGGCUUGGUCAUGAUAUCAGCUAUCUGUUCUGCACUAGGAAUGUACUGAAUUUGCAGCUCUCCAGCAAUCACUUUGUCUCUGAUGAAGUGUAAAUCAAUCUCAAUAUGUUUAGUUCUUGAAUGGAUAACAGGAUUGCGAGCUAAUUCAGUGGCACUAAUGUUGUCACACCAGACAGUAGGAGUUUCUGUACAGCUUAAACCAAUUUCAGAAAAAAGAGAUUGUAACCAGCUUAUCUCUGCACUAGCUGAAGCUAAGGCUCUAUAUUCACUUUCAGCACUUGAUCUGGCAAUGACUGACUGCUUUUUAGAUGACCAUGAUAUUAGAUUGUUUCCCAAGUAAAUGCAGUAAGCACCCACAGACUUUCUGUCAUCAAGAUCCCAGGCCCAAUCUGCAUCAGUGAAUCCUGUGAUCUUCAUCUCUCCAUGCUGAACAAAUUUAAAUCUAUAAUCUUGAGUAGACUUCAAGUAUCUAAGCACUCUCUUACAAGCUACCAAAUGCUGCAAUGUAGGAGUGGAAACAUACUGGCUUAACUUGUUGACAGAAAAUGCAAUUUCUGGUCUUGUUAGGAUCAGAUACUGCAUUCCCCCCACAAUGCUUCUAUAAUGUGUAGGAUCAGUGAUAUACUGACCAAGAUGACCUGGAGUUUCCUUUUGUAGCUUUAUUCCAAUGCUCAUAGGUGUAUCAAUUCCUUUGCAUUCAAGUAGCUGAACUUUGGAUAAUAAGUCUCUUAUGUAUUUUCUUUGUGACAAAUAGAUGCAACAUGCAUCAUACAAAACUUCAAUGCCCAGAAAAUAAGACAAAUUACCCAAAUCUUUCAAGGCAAAGACUCUGUUCAGUUCAGUUAUAAAGGUUUCCAAUGCUGCACUAUCUGGUCCUGUAAUUAAGAUAUCAUCCACAUAAAUCAACACCAUUAUCAUGAAGUUGAUUGUUUUCUUUAUGAAUAAAGAAGAGUCUGCUCUUGAGUUUAUAAAACCCCACUGUAAUAAGCAGCUUUUUAACUUCUCAUACCAAACCCUUGGAGCUUGUUUAAGGCCAUAGAGAGACUUGUGGAGUUUGCACACAAAAUCUGGUUUCUGAUUAUUGACAAAGCCUGCUGGUUGAUCCAUAAACACCUCUUCUGUCAACUCUCCAUUAAGAAAAGCAUUAUUUACAUCGACCUGCCUUAUCUCUCAUUGUUUCAUGACAGCUAGACUAAUCACCACUCUGACAGUAGCUGACUUUACUACAGGGCUAAAUGUCUCAAAAUAAUUAACCUCUUCAAUCUGCUGAAACCCCUUAGCUACUAGCCUAGCUUUAUACUUGGCCAAACUUCCAUCUGAAUUUUGUUUGACUCUAAAUACCCACUUGUUGCCAACAAUUUUUUGACCAGCUGAUCUAGGAACCAGAGACCAUGUUUUGUUACUCAUUAGAGCGUUGUAUUCAUCCUUCAUGCUGCAAGCCAUUUAAGAUUCUCCAUAGCUUCUUUGAUAGAUUCUAGUUCUUUAUGAACAAGUGUGACAUUGUAGAGUUUUGGUUUAAAAAUCCCAGCUUUGCUUCUAAUUAUCAUGGAAUGUGUGUUUACUGGUGUAGUAAUGUGUUGUGUAUGUUCUGGGGCUGAGAUAGAUGGAAUAGUGUUUAGUGAUAUUUGAUCAUGAGGAGAAAUAUAAGGCUCUGGCUCUGUAUGUGGUUGAACUGUUUGUGAUGAAGAGUGAGGAUCAAUGUUGUAUGCAGAAUUACCUGAGUGAUGAGAAGUGCUACUGGUAGGUCUUGCAGAAUCAUGAUUAUAGUAGUUGUUGUCAUCUGAUAUUGGAGAUAUUAACAAAGUGGAUAUAUGAUACACUUGUUGAGGAGUAAAUGGUAGGUUUGAACAUAAAUUUGAUGAGUUUGAAGUGAAAGCAAAAUCUGAUGAGUAAGCAAACAAAUUCUCAUAAAAAAUAACAUGUCUAGCUAUAUAGGUUUGACCAGAUGGAUGUAAACACUCGUACCCUUUAUGAGAAGGGCUAUAACCUAUGAAAAUACAUUUACGAGAAUGAUAUGCAAACUUAUGCUUGUUGUGAUCUCUCAAAUAAGGAUAGCAUGCACAGCCAAAACAUUUGAGCAUCUUGUAAUUUGGUUUAUGACUGAAAAGCUUUUCAUAUGGUGUAAGAAAUUUCAAAGUUGCAGAAGGCAACCUGUUAAUAUGAUAAACAGCAGUUUGGAAAGCUUCCCACCAAAAUUGUAAGGGUAACUUAGCUUGAGCUAAAAGUGUGAGACCUAACUCAACUACAUGCCUAUGCUUUCUCUCAACUACCCCAUUUUGAUGAUGUGUAUAGGGACAUGAGUGCCUGAAAAUAAUGUCAUUUUGAUUCAAGAAUUCAGUAAAUGCUCGGUACUCUCCCCCCCGGUCAGAUUGCAACUUCUUAAUUGGACAUUGAACCUGUUUUUCAACUUGCAAUCUGAAUAAUUUAAAAAUUUGUAAGGCUUCUGAUUUCAACUUUAAUGGGUAAAUCCAAGUGUAUCGGCUAAAAUCAUCAACAAAGCUGAUAUAAUAGAUAUGACCAACUCUAGAAGGUGUAGGUGAUGGUCCCCACAAAUCAGUAUAAAUGAGUUUAAGUAUGUGAGAAGUUUUGGUUUCAAUAAUAGGAAAAUGCAAUCUAUAAACCUUGCCCAUUUGACAUGCCUCACAUAUUUGCUGUGCAGAUUGUUUGAUAAGAUUGGUAGAGAGAUUGAUAGUUUUAUCAUUCUUAAGCAAAUGUAUUAGUACAUCAUGAUGAGGAUGACCAAAUCUUCUAUGAAACAAAUUAAUUUUAUUAACUGAUGCAUUACAAUGAGAGACAACAGUUUGAUAACAAGACAUAGAAGUUGAAUGAUUAUUUUGAGCACCAGUUGUAACAGGAAAUGAAAGAUGACAAGUAGAUAGCAUAGACAAAGGCUUAUUUGAAGAAACUUGACUCAAGAAAUAAGAGGGUGAUGUCUGAGAUGACUUUAACAGCAACUUGUAUAAUCCUUUUUUAGCAAGACCUUGCAAAAGCACCCGUCCCUUCAGUGAAUCCUUUACAUAACACACAUUGCCAACAAAUUCAAUGGAAAUGUUAUUAUCAGUUGUCAACUUAGAUAUACUUAUUAAGUUCUUAGUAAUUGAAGGAACUAAUAAGAUAUCUUUAAGUGUUAUAGAUGUGUGCUGGCAGGCAGUAUGAAGACAUUUAUAGUUAAAGCAAGCAUCACCAAUAUGAGUAAUGAUCAAACCUUGUCCAUUUUCAAUAGUAAGCUGGUCUAAACCUUUGAAUUCUUCUCGUACAUGCAUGUUUGCCAUGUUAUUGGUAAUGUGAUGUGUGGCACCAUUGUCCAGAUACCACCAUUCAUCUAAUGAAUCUUCCAGAUUUACAACAUAAGCUUCAGGCAGAGUAAAUGCUUCUGAUGAAUAAGAAGAAACAUGGGAGUAAUGGACUGGUUAACAGCUGGAGUUGACACCAGACAAUUCAUAAGGAUCUUCAAUAGCUGACUGGUGGUAUGAGAAUGGCUCAAAAUUAGUCAUAUAUGCUGCUUUAGGUCCCAUCAUUUUUCCUCUACCAAAUUGUUUUGGAGAAUGAGAGUAAUUAUCACCAUAUUUAUACCAGCAAGCAUCAACAGUAUGACCUUGUUUGUGACAUAUUUGACACACAAGUAUUGACUCAUUAGAUUCACCAGUAAAAAUGCUUGAGUUCAUUCAAGGUAAAAAUAUAUUCCUCACAUGUGGUGACCUAGGAGGAUGUGUAAACUGUUGAUUCCUUCCAAAGCUUGCAGCAUGUCCUCUGCCAAAACCACCAGCAGUACUACUACCAGCUGGAAAACCUCUGGGAUAAAAGUUAAAGAACAUGCCUCGACCAAAAUUUUGACUUCUUCCUCCAAAUUGACCAAAGGAUCCAUUACCAUAAGUAUUUCUCCUAGGAAUUCCCCUCAUAUGUGAAUAGUUUGCAUUCAUCAUACUGUGAUUAGCAUUAAACAUGGCCUGAGAAUUAUGAGAAUUCUGAUUUUGUUCAAAUCUAGCCUCAUGAGUCAACAAAAGUGUAUAUGCAUCAUCAUAACUCAUUUUAUUUGCUGUAAUUAUUGAAGCUAAAUCCAGAUAACCAGAUCCUAAUCCAUUAAGAGUUCUUAUUAGCAUAUCUUUUUCAGUUAUAUUAUCACCAGCACAGGCAAGCUUAUUAGCAAGUAUCUUCAUUUUUUAGCAACAUAUUCUUCAAUCGACAUUGAUUCUUUUAUUAAGGUAUCUAAUUCAUAUCGAAGUUGCAUUACCUUUGCUUCAGAUUGGACUCCAAAUUGCUUUUCAAUCGAUUUCCAGACAUCAAAUGAAGUAUUAUAAUUGAGAACUAAGCUUAGAAUACCUUCACUUAUAGUUUAAAAGAGCCAGCUCAGCAAAGUCUGAUCCUAAGCUCUUCAAUUGACAUAUGCUGGAUUCUCAGUUCUCUCCACAUAUCCAUUAGUUCGAGCUUGAGACAAAUACUGUUCUGGAAUAUUUUGAUUUUCUGAGAUAAAUCCUUUAAGUCUAUUUCCUUUGAUCAAAGUCAGAACUUGCUUACACUAGAGAAGAAAAUUAGAUCGAUCAAGCUUGACGGUUGUAGCAAAAUUAAAUGAAAUUUGAUGAGAUUGAGUUUGAUGAACAAUCAAAUGAUUUUGAUUGGUUGUACUGGAACUAGCCAUUGUGGCUCUGAUACCAUGAGAGAAAACUUGAGCUGUUUGUUUUGAAAGAAAAGUUGCAGAGAAAAAUUUUAUUUCAUUGAAUCUGGACAAUUAUCAAAGUCAAUUUACAACUGAAUUAAUCACAACUUAUAUACUCACAAGUUAGUUAUACACACAAGAAUUAUUAAUAACAGACUUUAACACCUUGUGCUGACUUGUUAUUUCAUAACUAACUCUGAUGACUUAGCAUUGCUGAGCUGGCAUGAUUGACUAACUUCACUUGCUGAAACUAACGGCUUCUUCACCUUUCUAUUCUUCAUAAGCUCAGCACAAUGAGCUUCAUUAACACUCGUUAUACCAUACUUGGCAAUGAAACUAUACAAAGCCAAUGGGCAUCUCAGUUCCAAUUAUGUACUUAAAGUUCACAUGUCCAUAAAAACUUGGCCAUUGUGGAUGGUUGUUCGCCAAUCAUAACUUUGAAGUUGGGUAAAGACAAACUGGUAAGAGUAAUAUAAAUUUUUCAUCAAACAGUUGUGGGUUAAAAUCAACUUAGCUUUCAAAAGGCAAAAGAAAAUUGAAAUGUUUACCAGACACUAAAGCUACUUUGCUUUGAAAGCACAACUGUUAAACAACAAUACCAAACGGGGCCUUAAAUGACCUAUUAACCUUCCAAUGUUCUUUCACACGUUAACACAGAGUGACAAUAAUUGUCGGGAUAUAUCAAAUUCAGGCAUCGCUAUAAUGAUAUUCCGCUUAAAUUUCAGUAUCAGUUAUUUGUCAGCCAAACAGAACAUUGAAAGACUAAAAUAUGAUCAAGUAUAUACAUAUGUGCAAGUGCAACAAAAUGGACAAAUAUAUAUUGUUAAGACUAUUAAGUCUUCAAUCUCUACAAAACUCACAAAUCUUGGUGAGUAGAAACACCAAGAACACAAUCGAAAUGAAUUACUAGAACAAAGAAACAAGAUAAGAACCAAAAACAGGGGCACAAACCAACACACUUGAAGGAAAAGUUACUCGUUGUUAUUGAUCAAGAACUAAUCCAAUCAUUAGUGGAUUUACAGAAGACUUUACACAUAUCACAAUGAAACAUAUCUUGUGAAAAAUGAUGAACUAAUGAAUACGAAAAGGACUGUUAAACAUGCACCAUCCAUUAGCUUUAUAUAUACUGAUGUACUGGACUUGUUAUAACAGAUGAUAACGAAUUCAUGCCACGUCAACAGACAAUAUCUAAUAGACCCAUCAACUGAAGUCAAUAUGCACAAUAGCUCUCAGCUUUUCUAUUUUCUUCAUUUCAGUCCACACAUACAUAUCUUCACAUUCUCCACCUUGCAGUUGAUUUAGUUGAUCCUUUCAAUAACACAGCACCUAAAAAACUUUCAUUCAACUACAAUUCACACCUGAAUUUAGUUAGGUUGGGCGAGAUGCCCAUCAGAUUCACACAGAAUUCAAAUUUUGCAAUGGGAAGAGCUUUUGUAAGAGCAUCAUCUGGAUUCACACCAGUAUGAAUCUUGAACACAAUUACAGUUCCUUUUCCAACAUCAUCUCUGAUGAACUGGAGCUUCACAUCAAUGUGCUUGGUUCUUUUAUGAUACAUAUGAUUCUUUAUCAAGUGUAUGGCACUUUGGUUAUCACAGAAAACCUUAACAGUUUUCUGACUUAACCAUAACUCAUUAAGCAAACCUCUUAACCACAUGACCUCUUUUAUUGCCUCCGUAGUUGCAAUAAACUCAACUUCAAUUGAGGAUAAAGCAACUACAGACUGAAGUGAUGACUUCCAGUUAAUCAUGCAACUGUUUAACACAAACAUAUACCCUAAGGUUGACUUUCUUCUGUCAAGAUCUAUAGGAAAGUCAGAGUCUACAAACCCCAUGACUUCACUUAUGUCACUCUUAGUCUUCCCAUACAGCAAACCACAAGUAGAAUAGCCCUUGAGAUAUCUCAUUAUUCAUUUGACAGCAUUCCAGUGAACCUUGCCUGGUUAACUGAGAAAUCUGCUGAUAACAUUUACUGCAUAGGCUAUAUCUGACCUGGUGCAUACCAUUACAUACAUCAGUCUCCCUACAGCCUGUGCAUAUGGGAAUUAAUUCACCUGAGACUCAUCUUUUGAUGAUUGACCUGCUGUCAACUUGAAUUAGGGAUCAAGUGGUGUCUAGACAGGUUUACAGUCUUGCAUCUCAAACCUCUCCAGACCUUCUUAAUAUAUUUCUCUUGACUCAAGAAUAAAGUGCCAGCAGAUCUGUCCCUUGUAAUGUCCAUCCUAAGGAUUCUUUUGGCAUUGCCGAGAUCCUUCAUUUCAAACUCAGCCUUCAACAGAUUUUUCAACCUCUUUAUCUCCAACUUGUAUUUGCUUGCGAUUAACAUAUCAUUAACGUACAGAAGCAAAUAAGCAACUCCACUUUGAUCUGAUCCACCAAAGUAAACACAAUUUUCAUAUUUGCUUAUGUGAUAGCCUUUUAAGACCAUAAAAUCAUCAUAUCUUCUGUACCACUGUCGUGGGGAUGGGUUGAGUCCAUACAAAGACUUAUACAGUAAACAAACAUAAUCCUCCUUUCCCUUACACUCAAAACUUUCAGGUUGUACCAUCAAUAUAUGUUUUUCAAGAUUACCAUGAAAGAAGGUUGUUUUUACAUCCAUUUGCUCAAGCUUCGAGUCAAGUAAGGUUACCAUGGCUAAUAAGAUUUUUAUUGAACUGUGCUUAAUAACAGAGGAGAAAAUUUCAUUGAAAUCUACACCCUCUCUCUGUGUAAACCCCCUAGCCACUAGCCUUACUUUAUAUUUGGGAGGUUUAACAUUUGGAAUUCCUUCUUUUUUCUUGAAGAUCCACUUACAACUGAUCAACCUUUUAUUACCUGGAUUUAGAACAAGUGUCCAGGUCUGAUUUCUUUGAAGGGACUCUAUUUCAUCUUGCAUUGCCUCAAGCCACUUAUCACAAUGCACACUUCCAAUAGCUUCAGAGAAAUUAGUAGGCUCUUCAAUUGACACAUCAUCAGCACACAACAGUGCAUAAGCAAUUAAGUCAGCAUAGCCAUACCUCACUGGUGCUCUGACUUCCCUUUUAACUCUAUCUCUUGCUAACUGAAAAGUCUGCAAGUCAGCUUGUGGUAAUUCUGAUGACUCAUGUUCCUCAGCUUCAGCUGUAGUCUUCUCUUCAUAGUCAGCUGCCUCUUUUCUACUGUCUUUAUCUCCAAACAGCUCCACCUUAACCUUGGAAGUUCCAAAUUAUUUGAUAUUUGUUGAAUCAUCUUGUAGUCCAGUAUCAUUCUCUGCAUUUUCUUUCAGUAAUGCAGAUUCAUGAAACACAACAUCCCUGCUGACUAUACACUUCCCUUGCCCUCUACACGAGAUUCUGUACCCCUUAACCCCAUCAGGAUAUCCAACAAAGACUCAUUUCAAGGCCCUAGCUUCCAGCUUGCCUUGAUUGAUGUAGAGAUAAGCAGGGCAUCCAAACACCCUGAGAUUUUGGUAAUUUGCAGGUUUUCCCUUUCACAGUUCUUCUAGUGUUUUAAAGCCAAUUGCAGAAGAUGGGCUUCUGUUAAUUAAAUAACUUGCUGUAUUGGCAGCUUCUACCCAGAAGCUUCUUGGAAGCUUUGAAUUUAUCAACAUACAUCUGGUCUUAUCUACCAAGGUCUUGUUCAUCCUCUUAGCUAAGUCAUUCUACUGGGGGGUGAACCUGACUGUUUUAUGGCUUUUUAUGCCAUGUUUUUGGCAAUAUUCCUCAAAUUGUUUGCUAUAAAAUUCCAAGCCAUUAUCAGUUCUCAAGCAUUUGAGCUUGAAUCUAGACUUAUUUUCUACUAAAGAUUUCCAUACCUUAAACUUUUCCAAGGCUUGAUCUCUAGUCUUGAGUAUGUAGAUCCAUACCUUCCUUAAGUAGUCAUCAAUUAGUGACAUGAAAUACCUACCACCACUCAAGGAUGGAAUUUGAGCAGGCCCCCAAAGGUCAGCAUGUGCAUAGUCCAGAACUUGCUUAGACAUAUGCUCCCCCUUGUGAAACUUAGACCUGUGAGCUUUGCCAAAAAUUCAGUUUUCACAGAAUUCCAGCUGUUGGAUUCUAUCUCCACCAAGUAGCCCUUGUUUGUUGAGCUCUUGCAUCCCUUUGACACUCAUAUGACCAAGUCUAAGAUGCCACAACUUGGUUCUAUCUUCCUUAGAAACGGCAGAAAUUCCCUAUUGAUCAGGCACUGAUGAGCCUUGCAAUACAUAUAAGUCAUUCUCUUUAACCUCAUUCAUCACUAUCUCAGUCCUCUUUCUUAUCUCUAAACCACCACUUUCUGAUUUAAAGAAAUACCCUAAGCUAUCUAGCAUGCCUAAAGAAAUUAAAUUUCUCUUUAGCCUAAGAGCAUGCCUCACCUCAUGUAGGGCUUUUACAGUUCUAUUAAACAUCUUGAUCUUUACAGAACCAAUACCAAUAAUAUUACACACAUUAUUGUUUCCUAUUAAGACUCUCCCACCAUCAAUAGCUUCAUAUUCGUAAAAUAGGGUUUUAUCAGGACAUAAGUGAAAAGAGCACACAGAGUCUAUGACCCAUUGACGUUUAGUAUUGCUGUUUGAGGCCACAAGUAAAUCAGCACUACGAUAUCCAUCAGAGGCAUCAUCAGAAGCUGCAGCUGUAUCCCCUGACUUUUCUUGACUUUCUUUCUUUUUCUUCUCAAGACAAUCCCUGAUGUAAUGCCCAUCAUUCCUGCAAUAGAAGCAUUUUCUCUUCUUUUUCUUUUUGUCUGCAUUUUCUUGAUUCUUUCCAUAUUCUUUUCCCUGAUUUUUGUUCUUCUAAUCUUUCUUCUUUUCUGAUCUGGCAAUCAGCCCAUCACCAUUACUUGUUUCAAGCCCAUUAUUCUUCUGAAUCUCUUUUGAACUCAGAGAUGCUUCAACAUCUUCAAGUCUCAAUGUUGUUCUGCAAUAAAGCAUUGUAUCUACAAAGCCUUCAUAAGACUUUGGAAAGGAACUCAGCAAGAAGAAUGCUUUAUCUUCAUAACUUAUUUUCACAUUUUCCACCCCUUCAAGAUUAAGAAUAUAUAUGAAAAGAAAAAUAGAAAAUUCAACUAUAAAAUUUAUUUCAUACAUCUGUAUCAGAUAGAAUUCCGAGACUGUUGGGUCCAAACCCUUGUUCAAUCUUCAUCGACAAGUCAGAAUUCUUGUCCUGUUUCAAUCAAUUCAAACAACCGCCAGUAAAUUUCAAACACGUGUGUUUCACACUAGCAUACGCAACGAGAACUAAGGUCUGAAGAUGAGCGAGGGACACAGAGACUUUACCUUGAGCUCCGAGUACGAAAUUGUGAUGGUUCUGAGAGUGGGGGAAACGGCUGCGGGCGAGCAAGCCAUCUUCUGACACGUAAUCUGGUGGGAAGCACUGCGAUUGGAGGGCAGGGCAAGGAUGAAUUGAGUGCCGAAAUGAGUUUUAUAGACAAGCGACCCUGAGAGAAUCGGAUUCAUGCGCGAAGUGAGUGUGAUGGUCAAUUCAAAUGAGAUGAAAACAAAAGGAAAAACACAAUCAAAAGGAAUAAAAUAGCAAGCGGUGUGGUUUCGGCUCUUCGCGUUUGUUCUUUAAAUUGAUUAUCGGUCGGCCCAAACCUUUUACGUGAGUUGCGUAAGUCGUUCUUAUUUGCCGUCGUUCCCACUAAACAUUGCAAAUUUAUAAUUCCCCGCAACUAAAAUUUUUAAAAAAAUCACAAAAACAGAAGAAAAAAGUGAUUUAUACAUUUAAAGCUAUUAUUUUAAUAUAAAAUCUAUCAUCUAAUUCCCUAACUUUUCUUCUUUUAGUGUAAUACCAAAAAAUAUAUAUAUAUAAAUUUCAGAUUAUCCUUGAUUAUCUUUAAGUUACCUUUUACAUUUAAAAUCUUUAAAUUAUUUUACUUUUUGUUUUAAAAAUAAAGAGCAAAUAAUUGUAUAUUGACAAAAAUUAUUUUGUCUUCUUAACAAAAAGUAUGCCAUAUUUAGAUUUAAAAGUAAAUAAGUGAUUUAAAAUAGCAAUUUUAAUAUAAUAAUUCUUUUAUCCAUUAUAUGAGAGAAAUUUCAGCUUGAUUUCUAGUGUCUGUUAUGCUAAUUUACCAUCUUUACUAGUUGAACUAAUUAGUAGAAUGGCAAUGUGUGUCACGAUAUAAAAAUGAAAUAAAUUUUUGGGUUAUGAUCAUUUUACUACUUCAAAAAUUGUCAAACAUCAAAUGAAUAUAACAAAUAUUGUCUCCUAUCAUUUUCCUAUUAUAUCUUUAUAAAAAUAUCAUUUUACUAUUUUUUCGUUACAACAAAUAUCAUUUUACUACUUUUCCAUUACAAUCGUUAAUUGACUCAUUAAUAACCAAUUAGUUGACUAAAAAAAUACCAAUUUUACCCUUCAUGAUUAAAAAAAUAAUAAGAUAAAUUUGUAAUCCAUAUAUCAUAAUUCCAACAAAAAAAAUUAUGUUGGUAUUAUAUAUCCAUUUUAAUAAAUAUAUUACAAAUUUAUUUUGUAAAUAAGUUUCAAGUAUUUUUUUUUUAAUCAUGAAAGGUGACAUUGGUAUUUUGUUAGUCAACUAACAGUUAUAACGAAAAAUAUAGUAAAAUUAUAUUUUUAUAAAGAUAUAGUAGGAAAAUGAUAGAAGAUAAUACUUGUUUUAGUCAUUUGAUAUUUGAUAAUUUUUGAAGUAGUAAAAUGAUAAUAACUCUAAAUUUUUUUAUGAUUGAAUUGAUAUAAUCUUACUUAUUAAUAAUCUUAUAUUUAAUAUUAUUUGUGUUGAAUUGUUUAUUGGUGUCAUAUAUGUUUUCUCAAUUCAUUUUAUAACCAAUUUAACAAUAAUUUUGAUAUAUUUAUUAUGUAUUAAAUUCAUCUUUAUUUUUUAGUAGAAAAAUAACUGAACAACUUUUUAGCCUCUUUUUACUUAGCUUUUAGUUAUUUGAUUCCUAAAAAAAUAGGCGUAAAUGUUAUAUUUUGAUUCUACCCAUCCCUAGGUUUUUCUUUCUUAUUAAGGGGCAAAACUAUCUUACCCCUAAUGUACCGAACACCAUUUUGGUAUUUUCUUUAGCAGCCCCUAUAGUUUUCUGUAAAUAAUAAAAACUAUAAGUUUUAAAAAUUUUAUACAAUAAGCCCCAAUUAAAAUAUAAUAAUUUCAAAAUUCUAAAAAAUUUAUUUGGCAUUUUCUUUAACAAUCCCUAUUGUUUUAUGUAAAUAAUAAAAACUAUAAGUUUUAAUAAUUUUAUGUAAUAAACCCAAUUAAAAUAUAAUAACUUUAAAAUUCUAAAAAAAAUAACCUCUCUAUAUCCUUCUCAAUCAAUUUUAAAUUUAAGUUUCAUUCUUUAUAAUUUUAAAUUUAAGUAAUAGAAUAAAUAUUAUAUAAUUUAUUUAUUUUUAUAUUAAAUAAACAAUUGAUCGGUUUCAUACGUGGGAUAAAGUAUAAGUAAUUUUACAUAAUCUCAAAUUUACUCAUAGAAAUUUAUUAUUUUGAAAAUAUUAUUUAUAAACUCUAUAAUGAAUUUAAAUGACUAUCCAAGCAUUUAUUUAAUAUUUAUUUAUUUUUCAUUUUAAUAUUGUCAAAAUUUAUAUAAAUCUUUUCUAAUUUUAUGUUACACUAAACACAAAAUAGUAUUGUUAAAAUAUAAUUGGUAUUUUAAGUAAAUGGAAGUGGAGAGUAUUUUAGCAAGUUAAAAUAAUCCAUCCAUAUUUUUAAUAUAUAAAUAUGUUUGUUUGCUGAAUUACUUUUGAUAAUAAAAUAUUUAACGGAUCAAUGUGUCAAAAUUUUAAAAUUUAAACUUUUCUUAUUCUUUUAGUAAACAUAAGGGACCACAUCGUUAAUAACCAAAUGAUAACAUCUUAGCCAUUAGAAUAGCCUUUGCUGGGUUGGAUCCAAUAAUUGGAUCACAAAAAGACAAAAAAAAAAGGUAUGAAACAAUAGUUGUACUAUAGCCGGACCCUAACUUUAGCAUAUAUUGAAAGUCGAAUUCAAUUAUAAGACUAAGAUUUUUUUUUUAAGAGAAUUAUUACUCAUGAUAUCUACAACUAUAUAAAUUAUUGAGACCAGUUUUAUAUCAAUUUUGAUAUGACACCGCUCAGAUUUUCUUAACCCUCUUAAAUAUUUGAGAGACGAUAAACUCCCCUCCUGAAAAAAAAAAAAAAAACUAUCUUCACUCAAGCUCUGGAAUUUUAAGGAAUGAUAUUUAAAUUAAACUCCUUCAAUACGUCUGCGGGGGCUCGAGAGUGGGUCUAACCACUUGGGCCAAGCGCUGGUGGUUCUAAGACUAAGGCUCCGUUUGAUACAGCUUAUUAAAUAGAGCUUAUAGUAGUAAAACUUAUAAAAGUAGAGCUUAUACAGAUAGAGCUUUUGGACAAAAAGUCAUUGGGUGUUUGGUUGUCAAUUAGAAAAGCAUUUUUGAUAGGGAUGGCAAUGGGGUGGGGUGGGGGUGGGGAUGCCUACCCCAUUCCCCACCCCAUUAAAAAUUUUUUGCCUCUAUUUCCCACCCCAUUCCCAAAUAAAUUUAGUGGGUUGGGGAUGAGGAAUCCUCAUGUGAGGAAUGAUUCCUCUAUCCCCACCCCAUUCCUCAUUUACUUAUUUUAUAAUAGAUAUAAAAAUAUAAUUUUAGUAAAUUAAAAAUUAGAGACUUAAAAUAAAAUCAUCACCAUAUUAUAAAGUAUUUAAAUUUUUUUAAAAAUCUCUAAAAGUUUGAAACAAUAUCUUAAACUGAUAUUAAAAGUGAAAAAUAUUUAAAGAAAGCAACACCUUAAGAAAAAAAAGAAAAUAUAAUAAUAUUUUAAAGUUAAAAAAUAUUGUAGGGUUUUCUUUUACUCAUAUCAUGUUUAUAUUACAUAAAAAUUAAAAACUUAUUAAUUGACAUUGUAGUUGAUAAAAUAAAAAUUAUUAAAUAAAAAUUAAAAACAUAUUUAUAUAUAAUGAGGAUUGGGGUGGGGUGAGGUGGGGAGUGCAAUACCAAACCCCACCCCGCUAAUAAUUUAGGAAUUACUUUUCUCCCACUCCCCACUUCAUUCCCCAAAAAUUAUUAAAAAUUUUCCUCAUUUGGGGUGGGGCUCCAUGGAACCCAAACCCGUAGAGGAUUUUGUCAUCCCUAAUUUUUUAACAUUAAACUGUUUGGUUGUGUAAAACUAAAAGUAUUUUUGUGUAAUUAAAUUACCAAAAAGGAUAUGUAUUCAUAAUUAUAUAACAUGUAAUAUAAUGCAUCCAAGCUAUCAAUUAAUAAGAAAAAACCAGUUCAAUCAUUUCUUUAAUUUUCAAAAUUAAAAAUUUCAUAAUUGAUAUAUUCUUUUAAACAAAUAAUAUUAUCCAAAUUAAAAUGAUAAUCGAUAAUAUAACUGAAAUGUUAACGGAACAUGAGAAGUGUCGCAUUACCUGACAUCCUCCUCACAAAAAACGUUGGUUAUGACUAUGAUUGCUCUUUCAAGUGUUAGUUAUGUAUUAGGGAUUGCAAAAUUAAAGUGUUGGUUAUUUUAAAAAAACAAAAAUAAAUAAAGUGAAGUGGCGGCAGGAAUAUAUUUAUAUAGCGGCAACAAUUUUCGUUGGGUAAGCUUUAUAUAAAAGGUAUUAUGUAAUUAAUUAAAUAUGUUAAGGAUAUUUUAUAUAUAUAUAUAUUUUAGAAAAUCUCUCUAAUCUCUACUCUCAAAAACUCAAAUUUUAGACUUUUACUAGCAGAGGUAAAUUAACUUAUUUAAGCUAAAAAAAUUCUACUAAAAAAAUAACCAAACACUAUUAAAAAAUUUUAAAAAUACUUAUGAAAUUAAAUAAGCACUUAUGACUCUUAAAUAAACCAUACCAAACAGGCACUAAGAUAUUAAAAAAACAGCUUUUUUAUGCGCAUAAUCAACCCUACAUUUUAAAAAACACAACUAUACACAUUUAAAAAAAAAAACAUUAGCCAUUUAUACUAAAUCUCAGUGACAUAUACGAUCAAGGAAGAAAAAUGAUGGGAUGUGAUUAUAUGAACAGUUGAACAUGUUCGUAAUUGACACGAUCUGUGUCAUUCAUUUAUAUUUUAUUGCUUUCUACUGUAAUAUACUACAAAUGUGAAGACUUGAAGUGAUGGUUGCCUUAUAUUUUAUUAUUUCAAUAUGUAGUUUAUUCAAGUUUUCAAGUUUUGUUUUUAAAUUCACACCCCUCUCUCAUUCUUCUCUGUCUGUGUGUUGCUGAACUCUCAAUGGCGAGCAACGUUCAGCACCUCACCCAAACAAUCCGACUCUCUUUCCCAUCUCUUCACAAUUUCAAAGCUUCUGAUGCUUUUACGAAUAAGAGUUUAAUUACCACAUUUCCAGUACGUUUCUCUUUUCACAGCUCAGCAAAAUUAACUACUUCUAUUCGCUCUUUACCAGUCGCUACCGCUAGCAUUAGCUACAGAAGCAGCUGUGCCUUCACUUGGGACGACGUCGUUCGAGUUUCUCAACCAGAAUAUUCCCCUGACGAUUCUUCCGAUCUCCAUGGCUACUUCGAAAAAAUCAAAAUCUGCAAUCGUGGCUCAGUUACUAUUUCAAGUUCCUCAUCAAACAAAUAAAUUUUGCAACCUUUAUUUUGCUGCACUUAAUUCAUUUUCUUAUCUUUUAAUUAUUAUUAUUUUUAAGGAAAUCCAAUCCGAGUUUUUUCCUUUUAUCAUCGAGGACCAAGUUGUUGGUUACACACAUAAUCGGUACAAUUUCUUUAUCCUCAUAAUAGAAAAUAGAUUAUGUCUAUUUAUUCCUGUUAGGGAUUUUAAAUUCUGAACAAUUCUUUUUUUCUUUUUUGAUUCAUUUUUUAAUAUGAGCAGUUUCGCUAGCCACCUGAGGAAAUACGACGACGUAUUCAUAUACUCUGAAAACAACGGAGGUCGAUUUGGCAGUCACCUGAAGUUAAAUUCAAAGCUGAAAACAGCCGAUGAGAGGACGAGAGUUGUCGGAGAAGUGAUUAAAUGCUUGGGCGAAGAAGAUUUGAUUCCAGGUAUACGGAAUGAGGUACUGCUAGCUUUACUUUUGAUGUUUAUAUAGGAACUGAAUCGAUUCUCUUUCACUUUUGAAUAUAUGCUUCGUGCUUGUGACUAUGUCCAUAUGAUGUGUAAUUUGUAAUUGAUUUUUUUGAGAUUGAUUCAUUUUGGAUUUCAUUGGUUUAUAAUCAGCUCUAUCCUGUAACAUCAACCUUUGGUUCUCCGAUCUUUUUCUCGCUGGAACGCGCCGCUGCUCCUUACUUUGGAAUAAAGGUGAGUUCAUGACUUUUGCUUUGGAUCAAGGAUACUUGUGCAUAAAGUUAGAGAUACAAUAAGUUAGUGAUCAUGAGAUGUUUAUUGCAGAUAUGAUCACAUGAAACAGUUGUGUCUUGUUAAGUGUCUAUGUUUGGAUCUACUCACCGUCGAACUUUGUCUAUUUUAUUACUUUGCUUUCUGGUAAUAGACUGAAUGAUAAUUUACUUGGCUAUUGAUGGUUAUAUUGCUGUUCCCUUCUUCCUGAAUUUGAAAAUAGGCUUAUGGAGUUCACAUGAAUGGUUAUGUUGAAAAAGACGGGCAAAAAUUUCUAUGGAUUGGAAAACGAACUCAAGUCAAACCUACUUAUCCAGGAAUGCUUGAUCAUCUAGUUGCUGGAGGAUUGGUAUGUAAUAAUAACCUUUCAUUGCUUUUCUUUGGUUGAUAGUAUUGGAUUCUUCUUUUGAAUUGCAUUGAGUUUACUUUUGUUUUGAAAAAAGGACAGUCGUCAGCUGAUUCUCCUAAGUCCUUUUUGUGAUCGGAAAAAGUGCCAAACAUGUAUUGCAUGAGUAGGGCAUAGCUGGAUCCUCAUAUACUUGAAGUUCACUGAUGACCUUCAUUUGAAAUUGGAAUAGGUUGCUUACUAAAAAAUAGAUUAAUAAGGUUUUUCUUCAGCAGUGGACUCCAAUAUGACUGCAGUUGAUUAAGAUUGACUUCUGAAGUGCUACUAAGGCUUAAGAAUCAAUUAGUCCUUAGAAAUUCUCAAAAUAGUAGGAAGAAGGCACAACAUUAUCCAAGGGCUGUUUGUCAUUCUGAUGUAGCAUAAAAGAAUAAGAGGGAAGAGGCAAAAGGUCAUUCUGAAAAAUGCCAUUUCUAUGGUGCCAUUUGUAAAACAUGCAAGCAAAAAUGUAGGGGGCAAGAGAAACUUUGCAGGCAUUUGUUUCUGUUAUUUUUCAGUUGGACUGAUUUAUCUCUUUACUAGUUAUAUAUGUUUUCAAGUUUAAACUGAGUGGUUUGGGCAGCUGGCAAAUAUUUGUCCAUGUUAGUCUAUAAUGAGAAAAUGAUCUUGAAAAGCCUUUAGUGAACCAUGGAAACUUGAGCUCAGAACAAAUAUCACGUGGGCAACAAACCUUGUGCAAUUGGAAAACAUUAGGUGUUCUUCCUUGUUGCAAGAUCAUUUGUUUCUGUUAUUUUUCGGUUGGACUGAUUUAUCUCUUUACUAGUUAUAUAUGUUUUCAAGUUUAAACUGAGUGGUUUGGGCAGCUGGCAAAUAUUUGUCCAUGUUAGUCUGUAAUGAGAAAAUGAUCUUGACUAGCCUUUAAUGAACCAUGGAAACUUGAGCUCAGAACAAAUAUCACGUGGGCAACAAACCUUGUGCAAUUGGAAAACAUUAGGUGUUCUUCCUUGUUGCAAUACUUGGAGAUUCCAGUUCAGUUACUGCAAUUGGAUAAAGAAUUUAUAAUAAUGAAAACUAUGGAUUCAUUUCAUUUAAAAAUGUUUUCUCUAAUCUUUAUGCUCAGUUAUCUGAACCAACUCUUCAUCUAUAUAAUCAUGAUGGUGAUUGCAGCCCCAUGGUAUUGCUUGUGGGGAGAAUAUUAUCAAGGAAUGUGAAGAGGAAGCGGGAAUACCUAGAUCCAUAUCCAAUAGGUAAGCUGUCCCCAUGCCACAUUGAUUCUAAAUUUGAGUACUAAUUGUAUUUAACUAUAUUAUAUUGGCUAAAAAUGUGAGCCUUGCUAAAGUUCCACUCCACAUGUUAAAAUUCUGAUUAAACCAUGCUUCUUUUAUGGAUGAUUGGUUGUACUAAUGGGUCCAGAUAUACAUCUUUCACAGAGCUAGACCAGUGGGAGCUGUUUCCUAUAUGGACAUUAAUGGGUUUAGUUACAAAAGAGACGUUCUGUUUUGCUACGAUUUGAAGCUACCUGAAGAUUUUGUUCCUAAGAAUCAAGGUAACUGUAUUAAAGCUUGAUCUCAUUGAUGCCCAUUUUCUUCCCUAGUGAGAAUAAGGUAUAAAAGCAAUAUUUCUUGAGCUGCAAACUAGUAUUAGCAUUCCUACUGUUAAAUAUUUAUACAUUUCAAUCUAUAACAUACAGCUGCUGCAGUUUUAGAAGAG
rnacentral:lncRNA from 1 species